UGGCUCAGGAUGAACGCUAGCGACAGGCCUAACGCAUGCAAGUCGAGGGGCAGCGCGGGAGAAGCUUGCUUUCCUGGCGGCGACCGGCGCACGGGUGCGUAACAGGUGUGCAAUCUGUCCAUAGUCGGGGAAUAGCCCAGCGAAAGUUGGAUUAAUGCUCCAUGUGGGCGAGUGCCGCAUGACACUUGCUUGAAACGUAAGGACUAUGGGUGAGCACGCUUCUGAUUAGAUAGUUGGUGAGGUAACGGCUCACCAAGUCGACGAUCAGUAGGGGUUCUGAGAGGAAGGUCCCCCCACAUUGGAACUGAGACACGGUCCAAACUCCUACGGGAGGCAGCAGUGAGGAAUAUUGGUCAAUGGGCGAGAGCCUGAACCAGCCAAGUCGCGGUUGAAGGAUGAAGGUUCUAUGGAUUGUAAACUUCUUUUGUCCGAGGGUAAAAAAGGCCACGUGUGGCUUCUUGCAAGUAUCGGACGAAUAAGCAUCGGCUAACUCCGUGCCAGCCGCCGC
rnacentral:rRNA from 1 species